GACCGCGUAGCUCAGUUGGCAGAGCAUUGGGCUGGUAUUCCAAAGGUCGUAGGUUCGAAUCCCACCGUGGCCG